GACGAAGGACCCGAGCGUUAUCCGGAUUCAUUGGGUUUAAAGGGCGCGUAGGCGGACAGUUUAGUCAGAGGUGAAAGCCCAGGGCUCAACCUUGGAAUUGCCUUUGAUACUGGCUGUCUUGAGUUCGGGAGAGGUGAGUGGAAUGCCGAGUGUAGAGGUGAAAUUCGUAGAUAUUCGGCGGAACACCAGUGGCGAAGGCGACUCACUGGCCCGAUACUGACGCUGAGGCGCGAAAGCGUGGGGAGCAAACAGG
rnacentral:rRNA from 1 species